CUAACACAUGCAAGUCGAGGGGUAGAGUUAGCUUGCUAACUUGAGACCGGCGCACGGGUGCGUAACGCGUAUGCAAUCUACCUUGUACAGGGGGAUAGCCCAGAGAAAUUUGGAUUAAUACCCCAUGGUGUUUAGAAGUGGCAUCACUUUUUUACUAAAGUUCCAACGGUACAAGAUGAGCAUGCGUCCCAUUAGCUAGUUGGUAUGGUAACGGCAUACCAAGGCUAUGAUGGGUAGGGGUCCUGAGAGGGAGAUCCCCCACACUGGUACUGAGACACGGACCAGACUCCUACGGGAGGCAGCAGUGAGGAAUAUUGGUCAAUGGUCGCAAGACUGAACCAGCCAUGCCGCGUGCAGGAAGACGGUCCUAUGGAUUGUAAACUGCUUUUAUACAGGAAGAAACCCUCUCACGUGUGGGAGCUGACGGUACU
rnacentral:rRNA from 1 species